rnacentral:rRNA from 1 species
UGGGGAAUUUUCCGCAAUGGGCGAAAGCCUGACGGAGCAAUGCCGCGUGGAGGUGGAAGGCCUACGGGUCGUCAACUUCUUUUCUCGGAGAAGAAACAAUGACGGUAUCUGAGGGAUAAGCAUCGGCUAACUCUGUGCCAA